rnacentral:rRNA from 1 species
GACGAACGCUGGCGGCGUGCUUAACACAUGCAAGUCGAACGGAAAGGCCCUGCUUUUGUGGGGUGCUCGAGUGGCGAACGGGUGAGUAACACGUGAGUAACCUGCCCUUGACUUUGGGAUAACUUCAGGAGACUGGGGCUAAUACCGGAUAGGAGCUCCUGCUGCAUGGUGGGGGUUGGAAAGUUUCGGCGGUUGGGGAUGGACUCGCGGCUUAUCAGCUUGUUGGUGGGGUAGUGGCUUACCAAGGCUUUGACGGGUAGCCGGCCUGAGAGGGUGACCGGCCACAUUGGGACUGAGAUACGGCCCAGACUCCUACGGGAGGCAGCAGUGGGGAGUAUUGCACAAUGGGCGGAAGCCUGAUGCAGCAACGCCGCGUGCGGGAUGACGGCCUUCGGGUUGUAAACCGCUUUCGCCUGUGACGAAGCGUGAGUGACGGUAAUGGGUAAAGAAGCACCGGCUAACUACGUG